GACGUAGGGCGCGAGCGUUGUCCGGAUUUAUUGGGCGUAAAGAGCUCGUAGGCGGUCUGUCGCGUCGGCUGUGAAAACUCGGGCUCAACUCCGAGCUUGCAGUCGAUACGGGCAGGCUAGAGUUCGGCAGGGGAGACUGGAAUUCCUGGUGUAGCGGUGAAAUGCGCGGAUAUCAGGAGGAACGCCGGUGGCGAAGGCGGUUGCCUGGAGCUUUGCUGACGCUGAGGCGCGAAAGCGUGGGGAGCGAUCCGG
rnacentral:rRNA from 1 species